rnacentral:rRNA from 1 species
UACGUAGGGUGCAAGCGUUGUCCGGAAUUACUGGGCGUAAAGCGUGCGCAGACGGUUGCGUAAGUCAGAUGUGAAAGCCCCGGGCUCAACCUGGGAAUUGCAUUUGAGACUGCGUAGCUAGGGUGCGGAAGAGGGAAGCGGAAUUUCCGGUGUAGCGGUGAAAUGCGUAGAUAUCGGAAGGAACACCAGUGGCGAAAGCGGCUUCCUGGUCCAGCACCGACGUUCAGGCACGAAAGCGUGGGGAGCAAACAGG